rnacentral:rRNA from 1 species
AGUGAACGCUGGCGGUAGGCCUAACACGUGCAAGUCGAACGGCAGCACAGUAAGAGCUUGCUCUUACGGGUGGCGAGUGGCGGACGGGUGAGGAAUACAUCGGAAUCUACUUUUUCGUGGGGGAUAACGUAGGGAAACUUACGCUAAUACCGCAUACGACCUACGGGUGAAAGCAGGGGAUCUUCGGACCUUGCGCGAUUGAAUGAGCCGAUGUCGGAUUAGCUAGUUGGCGGGGUAAAGGCCCACCAAGGCGACGAUCCGUAGCUGGUCUGAGAGGAUGAUCGGCCACACUGGAACUGAGACACGGUCCAGACUCCUACGGGAGGCAGCAGUGGGGAAUGUUGGACAAUGGGCGCAAGCCUGAUCCAGCCAUACUGCGUGGGUGAAGAAGGCCUUCGGGUUGUAAAGCCCUUUUGUUGGGAAAGAAAAGCAGCAGGUUAAUACCCCGCUGUUCUGACGGUACCCAAAGAAUAAGCACCGGCUAACUUCGUG